GAAGGACACUGGUGUCAACGGCU
rnacentral:miRNA from 1 species